rnacentral:rRNA from 1 species
CCCGAACCCAUCCCGAACUCGGUCGUGAAACAUCGCUGCGGCAAAGAUAGUCGGAGGGUUGCCUCCCGCUAAAAUAGCUCGGCGCCAGGC